rnacentral:misc_RNA from 1 species
UAGAGUUAUAAAACUCCCAACCCAUGUGAACUUACCAUUGUUGCCUCGGCGGAGCCUACCCUGUAGCCAGCUACCCUGUAGCGACCUACCCGGUAGCGGUCCGCCGGUGGAUUUUCAAACUAUUGUUAUUUUGUGUCGUCUGAGCGUCUUAUUUUAAAUAAGUCA